rnacentral:lncRNA from 1 species
UAAAAGCAGAAAUCCUUGGCUCUACCCUUGGAAUUAGAGGGAGUAAAUAAAGUCCAGACUCUCACAUUCCCAACUUCGAAUCCUAAGGUAUAUAAAAUUUACCAUAUAAUGAUAAUUGAAGUUAGUUCCGCUCAAGAUGGAACUUAAGCAAAUUUUAACUUUUUGAAUUCUAGCCUCUUUCACCUUCAGAUGAUGUUUCAAAUUUGAACGAGAUCCGACUUCAUUGGUGAGCUUAGUCUCCGGAUAUUUUCGACAAGGUUCCAGAUUUUUGGAGGGGUUGUCAAGUGUAUAUAACAACACGCAUGGAUGGAUGAUCAUUGAUUUGAAGUAGCAAGCCCAGAAUUGCAAGUUGGCUAACGAAUGCAGCUGACAUAGAAACCAAGUAAAUCAAACCAAGCCCAAAAAAAACACCUGAUUUAAACACUGAGAGCGACACAUGAAGAACGCAGCGAACAAAUAAUUGCACAACAUUCACAACACCCGAUUUCCAAACUCAGGCGUCAAUGUCACUCCAAUAGAAACCAGAUUACAACACGCUCUGCUACCGACUAGAACGCCACCGUAAACCAACGAACCCCCCACCGGAUCUAAUCCACGAAGACCAGAUAUACACUUAAAUGUAUAUGUCAUUUCUUGCUUUUAAUUCCCCGACCAGAAGAAGCAUUGUUCCCUCCAGCUUGCGCCGCCUUCCGUACGGCUUUUUCUUGCAGAGCCUUCGCGUCCCUGGCCAUCAUAAAAAAAGCGCGUCCCAACAUGAAUCAAGACGGUAUAUUAAAACAGAAUUAACGGAAAUGUUAGGAUUUCUGAAUGAGAGUGUUCAACCUUUCGCGGCGCUGUUCUGGCGUCAAUCCGUCUGUUUUGGUUUGCUUGGACUUGCUACCAGCCCUAGCUUGGGCUCUUUCACGGUCUCUAUCCCUCUGGUUACCGCGUUGGCUUCAGUUAAAGGAAACAACAAACAGACAAUGCAUCAAAGGCCAAAAGUGCCAAAUUCCCAUUCUUCCGUUUGGUUGCCGAAUACAAAAGAUGAAAAGAACAAUGCAAAAAUGAUAGUUAACCCAAAAAAUCUCAGAUUUAGCUGAAUCUGGAGGUGUUGAAGUCACGAUUAUUGUCCAUCGCUUGAUCCCUCCGGGCAAACAGAUAAAAAAUCAUAGAACAAAAGCAGAAAAGAAAACAAAUUAAUAGGGAAAGAGAAUUGGAUCAGAUAGAUCCGAAUCAGGAAAGGAUAUGACUCAUUGAUGAUCUGAUUCCUAAACGAAACAAGUCAAUGAGAAUCCCCUGUAAAUGAUGCAAGCAAUUCCAACGUCAUAACCAAAAAGAAAGGGAAAAGGAUUCGAGAGCCAAAAUCAAUUACAGAGGAGAAGGAAACACGCCAUACCUUCGGAGGUUAGAGAGGAAGAAAAGAGACAGUGUCAGAAUGUCGAAGAGGAGGAAUGGGAGUCUGGAAGCACGAUGACGAGCAGGCUGACGAGGGAGAAAGGACGGAGAAGGGACUAGAAUGAAGAGUAAUUUGUGGGUGGGGGAUGGAAAAUUCAGGAUUUCUUCUCCUUUUCUAUUAGCUAUGGAAGGGUCGAGAAGCCGCGGGGAUUCUCCUUGUUG